GACGAACGCUGGCGGCGUGCUUAACACAUGCAAGUCGAACGGAAAGGCCCCUUUGGGGUUACUCGAGUGGCGAACGGGUGAGUAACACGUGGGUAACCUUCCCUUUCCUUCGUGAUAACUUCAGGAAACUGGGGCUAAUACCGGUAAUGAAUCCUUCCUCCAUGGUGGGGGUUGGGAAGCUUUUGCGGUUUUGGGUGGACUCGCGGCUUAUCAGCUUGUUGGUGGGGUAGUGGCUUACCAAGGCUUUGACGGGUAGCCGGCCUGAGAGGGCGACAGGCCACAUUGGGACUGAGAUACGGCCCAGGCUCCUACGGGAGGCAGCAGGGGGGAAGAUUGAACAAUGGGCAGAAGCCUGAUGAAGCAACGCCGCGGGCGGGAUGACGGCCUUCGGGUUGUAAACCGCUUUCAGCAGGGGCGAAGCUUGUGGUGACGGUACCUGCAGAAGAAGCACCGGCUAACUACGUG
rnacentral:rRNA from 1 species